AACACGAGGACUUCCCGGGAGGU
rnacentral:siRNA from 1 species